rnacentral:rRNA from 2 species
GUUGGGUAGGGGAGCGUUCUGUAAGCCUGUGAAGGUGGCCUGUGAGGGUUGCUGGAGGUAUCAGAAGUGCGAAUGCUGACAUAAGUAACGAUAAAGCGGGUGAAAAGCCCGCUCGCCGGAAGACCAAGGGUUCCUGUCCAACGUUAAUCGGGGCAGGGUGAGUCGACCCCUAAGGCGAGGCCGAAAGGCGUAGUCGAUGGGAAACGGGUUAAUAUUCCCGUACUUGGUGUUACUGCGAAGGGGGGACGGAGAAGGCUAUGUUGGCCGGGCGACGGUUGUCCCGGUUUAAGCGUGUAGGUGUGUGUUCCAGGUAAAUCCGGUUCACUUUAACACUGAGGCGUGAUGACGAGGCACUACGGUGCUGAAGCAACAAAUGCCCUGCUUCCAGGAAAAGCCUCUAAGCAUCAGGUAACAUCAAAUCGUACCCCAAACCGACACAGGUGGUCAGGUAGAGAAUACCAAGGCGCUUGAGAGAACUCGGGUGAAGGAACUAGGCAAAAUGGUGCCGUAACUUCGGGAGAAGGCACGCUGACACGUAGGUGAAGUGAUUUACUCACGGAGCUGAAGUCAGUCGAAGAUACCAGCUGGCUGCAACUGUUUAUUAAAAACACAGCACUGUGCAAACACGAAAGUGGACGUAUACGGUGUGACGCCUGCCCGGUGCCGGAAGGUUAAUUGAUGGGGUCAGCGCAAGCGAAGCUCCUGAUCGAAGCCCCGGUAAACGGCGGCCGUAACUAUAACGGUCCUAAGGUAGCGAAAUUCCUUGUCGGGUAAGUUCCGACCUGCACGAAUGGCGUAAUGAUGGCCAGGCUGUCUCCACCCGAGACUCAGUGAAAUUGAACUCGCUGUGAAGAUGCAGUGUACCCGCGGCAAGACGGAAAGACCCCGUGAACCUUUACUAUAGCUUGACACUGAACAUUGAGCCUUGAUGUGUAGGAUAGGUGGGAGGCUUUGAAGUGUGGACGCCAGUCUGCAUGGAGCCGACCUUGAAAUACCACCCUUUAAUGUUUGAUGUUCUAACGUGGACCCGUAAUCCGGGUUGCGGACAGUGUCUGGUGGGUAGUUUGACUGGGGCGGUCUCCUCCUAAAGAGUAACGGAGGAGCACGAAGGUUGGCUAAUCCUGGUCGGACAUCAGGAGGUUAGUGCAAUGGCAUAAGCCAGCUUGACUGCGAGCGUGACGGCGCGAGCAGGUGCGAAAGCAGGUCAUAGUGAUCCGGUGGUUCUGAAUGGAAGGGCCAUCGCUCAACGGAUAAAAGGUACUCCGGGGAUAACAGGCUGAUACCGCCCAAGAGUUCAUAUCGACGGCGGUGUUUGGCACCUCGAUGUCGGCUCAUCACAUCCUGGGGCUGAAGUAGGUCCCAAGGGUAUGGCUGUUCGCCAUUUAAAGUGGUACGCGAGCUGGGUUUAGAACGUCGUGAGACAGUUCGGUCCCUAUCUGCCGUGGGCGCUGGAGAACUGAGGGGGGCUGCUCCUAGUACGAGAGGACCGGAGUGGACGCAUCACUGGUGUUCGGGUUGUCAUGCCAAUGGCACUGCCCGGUAGCUAAAUGCGGAAGAGAUAAGUGCUGAAAGCAUCUAAGCACGAAACUUGCCCCGAGAUGAGUUCUCCCUGAGACUUUAGGUCUCCUGAAGGAACGUUGAAGACGACGACGUUGAUAGGCCGGGUGUGUAAGCGCAGCGAUGCGUUGAGCUAACCGGUACUAAUGAACCGUGAGGCUUAACCUUACAACGCCGAAG